AACAACCUAUUAAAGUAUGGGACUAAUAUGACAAGAUCUUACCAAAUCAUGGGACUAACAUGGUAAGAGAAAAAUGAGCAGGAACUUGUCAAAACAUGGGACUAACAUGACAAGGAUCUGAUCAAACCAUGGGACUAACAUGGUAAGGUAAAAACAAGGCAUGGUGUCAAAACCAAGAAAAGGGUGUAUAACCAUGAAGGUGUUAACCCGAAUUAUGGUGUUUAAACCAAAGAGG
rnacentral:lncRNA from 1 species